rnacentral:rRNA from 1 species
AAAUUGAAGAGUUUGAUCAUGGCUCAGAUUGAACGCUGGCGGCAGGCCUAACACAUGCAAGUCGAACGGUAACAGGAAGCAGCUUGCUGCUUCGCUGACGAGUGGCGGACGGGUGAGUAAUGUCUGGGAAACUGCCUGAUGGAGGGGGAUAACUACUGGAAACGGUGGCUAAUACCGCAUAACGUCGCAAGACCAAAGAGGGGGACCUUCGGGCCUCUUGCCAUCAGAUGUGCCCAGAUGGGAUUAGCUUGUUGGUGAGGUAACGGCUCACCAAGGCGACGAUCCCUAGCUGGUCUGAGAGGAUGACCAGCCACACUGGAACUGAGACACGGUCCAGACUCCUACGGGAGGCAGCAGUGGGGAAUAUUGCACAAUGGGCGCAAGCCUGAUGCAGCCAUGCCGCGUGUAUGAAGAAGGCCUUCGGGUUGUAAAGUACUUUCAGCGGGGAGGAAGGUGUUGUGGUUAAUAACCGCAGCAAUUGACGUUACCCGCAGAAGAAGCACCGGCUAACUCCGUGCCAGCAGCCGCGGUAAUACGGAGGGUGCAAGCGUUAAUCGGAAUUACUGGGCGUAAAGCGCACGCAGGCGGUCUGUCAAGUCGGAUGUGAAAUCCCCGGGCUCAACCUGGGAACUGCAUUCGAAACUGGCAGGCUUGAGUCUUGUAGAGGGGGGUAGAAUUCCAGGUGUAGCGGUGAAAUGCGUAGAGAUCUGGAGGAAUACCGGUGGCGAAGGCGGCCCCCUGGACAAAGACUGACGCUCAGGUGCGAAAGCGUGGGGAGCAAACAGGAUUAGAUACCCUGGUAGUCCACGCCGUAAACGAUGUCUACUUGGAGGUUGUGCCCUUGAGGCGUGGCUUCCGGAGCUAACGCGUUAAGUAGACCGCCUGGGGAGUACGGCCGCAAGGUUAAAACUCAAAUGAAUUGACGGGGGCCCGCACAAGCGGUGGAGCAUGUGGUUUAAUUCGAUGCAACGCGAAGAACCUUACCUGGUCUUGACAUCCACAGAACUUUCCAGAGAUGGAUUGGUGCCUUCGGGAACUGUGAGACAGGUGCUGCAUGGCUGUCGUCAGCUCGUGUUGUGAAAUGUUGGGUUAAGUCCCGCAACGAGCGCAACCCUUAUCCUUUGUUGCCAGCGGUUAGGCCGGGAACUCAAAGGAGACUGCCAGUGAUAAACUGGAGGAAGGUGGGGAUGACGUCAAGUCAUCAUGGCCCUUACGACCAGGGCUACACACGUGCUACAAUGGCGCAUACAAAGAGAAGCGACCUCGCGAGAGCAAGCGGACCUCAUAAAGUGCGUCGUAGUCCGGAUUGGAGUCUGCAACUCGACUCCAUGAAGUCGGAAUCGCUAGUAAUCGUGGAUCAGAAUGCCACGGUGAAUACGUUCCCGGGCCUUGUACACACCGCCCGUCACACCAUGGGAGUGGGUUGCAAAAGAAGUAGGUAGCUUAACCUUCGGGAGGGCGCUUACCACUUUGUGAUUCAUGACUGGGGUGAAGUCGUAACAAGGUAACCGUAGGGGAACCUGCGGUUGGAUCACCUCCUUACC